rnacentral:lncRNA from 1 species
GGAGCACAUGAUCUCUCAGAGUUAGCGGAUUCUGCUCCCACGCCAAACCAAAACCGAGGAGAAGUGAAGGGAAGAGGAAAGAGAGGGCUGGCCGCAAAGUAUGCGUUCUGGAAAAUCAGGUUCCCUUUUUCUGGUCAUUUCUGGGCUCCGUGCAACCCUGAGCAUCUUGGAGAGAUUGCCAAGGAGAAGAGGAGAGGAGAGGGGACAGCUAUGGUGCAUGAGGAAAUGACACCUGCCUUCUGACGGGUACAGCAGAGAAUAAUGUGUCACAGGAGAAAUGCGCCAAGUCCACUCUCCCUCCUUUGGCUGUGUGAGGGACUACCCACCCACCUCCUGCUCCUCGUAUUGCCUGUGUUCAUGCCUGCACCCCACCAGCCAUCCACUACCUAGAAUUAACAAGAAGUCUAUCAGGAUUAAAUGUGCCUCUGGAGGCCCAUAUGUGGGAACAGAUUUUGUUUUUAACUUUUGAUUCUAGAAAAUUUCAAAAAUACAUAAAAAUAGAGUGAAUUGUCAAUGAACCCCAUGUACUAAUCACUCCUCUAUAAAAAUCAUCAACCC